UUGGCUCGAUAGUCACUGGUUGUAUUAUGCUGGGUUUUGCUCUCAUCACUGUGAUCUGUGGCGCAGUCUCAGCGAGCAAGUUGUCAGGCGAAAGAGCUGCCACGGCUGGUUUGUGGUCGCUUUAUUACGCUGUGCCAGGAAUACUCACUAUUGCCGCUGGAGCCACCAAAAAGAGCAUUGUGAUGGGAUUCGCCUUGUUCUUCAAUAUCAUCGCAGUGAUAGUUUCCAUAGGCGGUUCGAUAGCAUUGAUCAUUUUUACAAUUCUGUUAAACGAAGUCGUAGAGGACGAAUGCACAUAUU